GAUUGACCUCCUCUUAAAAGGUUUUUUUUGAUAAAAAAUAAAAAACCUUUUAAGAGGAGGUGUAAUUA
rnacentral:tRNA from 1 species